rnacentral:rRNA from 1 species
ACACAUGCAAGUCGAACGGAGUUCUUGAGGAAUGCGGCUUCGGCCAAAUGACUUUUGAACUUAGUGGCGGACGGGUGAGUAACGCGUGAGCAACCUGCCUUUCAGAGGGGGAUAACAUUUGGAAACAGAUGCUAAUACCGCAUAAGAUUACAGUACCGCAUGAUACAGUGAUCAAAGGAGCAAUCCGCUGAAAGAUGGGCUCGCGUCCGAUUAGAUAGUUGGUGAGGUAACGGCUCACCAAGUCGACGAUCGGUAGCCGGACUGAGAGGUUGAACGGCCACAUUGGGACUGAGACACGGCCCAGACUCCUACGGGAGGCAGCAGUGGGGAAUAUUGCACAAUGGGCGAAAGCCUGAUGCAGCAACGCCGCGUGAGGGAAGACGGUUUUCGGAUUGUAAACCUCUGUUUUCGGUGACGAACAAAUGACGGUAACCGAGUAGGAAGCCACGGCUAACUACGUGCCAGCAGCCGCGGUAAUACGUAGGUGGCAAGCGUUAUCCGGAAUUACUGGGUGUAAAGGGAGCGCAGGCGGGAUAGCAAGUCAGCUGUGAAAACUAUGGGCUCAACCCAUAAACUGCAGUUGAAACUGUUAUUCUUGAGUGGAGUAGAGGCAAGCGGAAUUCCGAGUGUAGCGGUGAAAUGCGUAGAUAUUCGGAGGAACACCAGUGGCGAAGGCGGCUUGCUGGGCUCUAACUGACGCUGAGGCUCGAAAGUGUGGGGAGCAAACAGGAUUAGAUACCCUGGUAGUCCACACUGUAAACGAUGAUUGCUAGGUGUGGGGG